GGUGUUUGUGGCUGAGGGAGAGCAGGUGUUACUGUAUGGCCAGUUUGCCAUGUGGCAACUGAAAUGUACAGAUAUGUUUUCCUUGUGGGUGUGGAAUUCCUCUGAAAGUGAUGUCUAGUUGGUAAGGAAAUCUAAUUUAUAGUGGUUUGAAAAUACAUUUGAGAAGUAGUCUAUUUUUAGCAUGUUUGUAGGGGGAAAUUAGUCUCUCAGACAGCAGAGUUCAGGGGAUAUAAGGCUUAGAUGGGCUAGAUAGCUUCAUGCCAGGUGGGAAUCAAGCACUGAUGUCAGUGGAACAAAGUUGCAUCCAAUGAAUUUAACCUGGCUUGAUGUCUCAGGCUUAAACUGAAAUAUGUUUACUUCACAGAUUUUAUAGAAUCCUGUUAAUGGUGCAUAACAGGUGUUCUGUUAAAAAUGAGACCUCACUUCUUGUCAGUGUCAGAAACUGAAAGUGCUGAGACUAGUAUUUUUGACAGUGACAAUUCUUGCUGUGUUGGAGCUGGCUGUUAAGGGAGUGGCAAAUUGGUAAUCUCUGGAAAUUGGAUUGGUUACUGCUUGUUUAGUGGGUAAGAACAAGAAAAUGAAAGCAGUCGUACAUUAAGUGUUUCUUUGCCUACAGGCAAAAAACCAAAAUGGUGUAAUUUGAGGUAGUGACUGGAAGCAUUUAAGUUAAAUUGGCACCAAAGCUGGGAGACUCCUUCUUCAGGCUGAGCGGCUUAUUUCAGCUUAGUCCGGGAUGUCCUCGAACAAGCAGUCUUACGUGUGAAAACGCUGUUGUUUCUUGAGGUUUCUGUUAGCACAGCAGGCGGGACGGUGAUGAGCUGCUGAUGGAGUGUCACUCUCCCAGUGUCCUCCUAAUUAUACACGAAGGAGGGCCCCGUGAGCAGUCCUGUAAGGACCCGUUUUGCAACCGCAUCUAUUGUACGAGGCUUUUGUAGUUUUGUCCUUUGUAAGAGAUGCAUAAAGCAGAAAAUUCCACCCUAACCCGUGGUCUGGGCUUCAUUUACCCGAACAAGGAGUUGGGCUGCGGGGAACUCUCGAGGCCUCUCUGGUUUCUUAUUCAUCUGUAUACACACACACCAGGAUACGUGUACUUGCGGAACCCAAGCAAGUAGCUUAUGAAAGCAGUCCCAGGUAAGUAGGUGCUCAAACAGCCCUUGCUCAGGGUCUGGGGACUGAUGGGGCUCAGGCAGAUCAAACCCUUGGCCAUUGUCUUGCUACUGCUUUCCUGUCUGUCUCCAGAAAAGCAGACU
rnacentral:lncRNA from 1 species